GACGAACGCUGGCGGCGUGCUUAACACAUGCAAGUCGAACGGAAAGGCCCUGCUUUUGUGGGGUGCUCGAGUGGCGCACGGGUGAGUAACACGUGAGUAACCUGCCCUUGACUUUGGGAUAACUUCAGGAAACUGGGGCUAAUACCGGAUAGGAGCUCCUGCUGCAUGGUGGGGGUUGGAAAGUUUCGGCGGUUGGGGAUGGACUCGCGGCUUAUCAGCUUGUUGGUGGGGUAGUGGCUUACCAAGGCUUUGACGGGUAGCCGGCCUGAGAGGGUGACCGGCCACAUUGGGACUGAGAUACGGCCCAGACUCCUACGGGAGGCAGCAGUGGGGAAUAUUACACAAUGGGCGGAAGCCUGAUGCAGCAACGCCGCGUGCGGGAUGACGGCCUUCGUGUUGUAAACCGCUUUCGCCUGUGACGAAGCGUGAGUGACGGUAAUGGGUAAAGAAGCACCGGCUAACUACGUG
rnacentral:rRNA from 1 species